rnacentral:rRNA from 1 species
GACGUGCUUGCACUGAUUUCAACAAUGAAGCGAGUGGCGAACUGGUGAGUAACACGUGGGGAAUCUGCCCAGAAGCAGGGGAUAACACUUGGAAACAGGUGCUAAUACCGUAUAACAACAAAAUCCGCAUGGAUUUUGUUUGAAAGGUGGCUUCGGCUAUCACUUCUGGAUGAUCCCGCGGCGUAUUAGUUAGUUGGUGAGGUAAAGGCCCACCAAGACGAUGAUACGUAGCCGACCUGAGAGGGUAAUCGGCCACAUUGGGACUGAGACACGGCCCAAACUCCUACGGGAGGCAGCAGUAGGGAAUCUUCCACAAUGGACGAAAGUCUGAUGGAGCAAUGCCGCGUGAGUGAAGAAGGGUUUCGGCUCGUAAAACUCUGUUGUUAAAGAAGAACACCUUUGAGAGUAACUGUUCAAGGGUUGACGGUAUUUAACCAGAAAGCCACGGCUAACUACGUGCCAGCAGCCGCGGUAAUACGUAGGUGGCAAGCGUUGUCCGGAUUUAUUGGGCGUAAAGCGAGCGCAGGCGGUUUUUUAAGUCUGAUGUGAAAGCCUUCGGCUUAACCGGAGAAGUGCAUCGGAAACUGGGAGACUUGAGUGCAGAAGAGGACAGUGGAACUCCAUGUGUAGCGGUGGAAUGCGUAGAUAUAUGGAAGAACACCAGUGGCGAAGGCGGCUGUCUAGUCUGUAACUGACGCUGAGGCUCGAAAGCAUGGGUAGCGAACAGGAUUAGAUACCCUGGUAGUCCAUGCCGUAAACGAUGAGUGCUAAGUGUUGGAGGGUUUCCGCCCUUCAGUGCUGCAGCUAACGCAUUAAGCACUCCGCCUGGGGAGUACGACCGCAAGGUUGA